rnacentral:rRNA from 1 species
CGAGCGAGAAAGGUUUUCGGACUGAGUACAGCGGCGGACGGGUGAGUAACGCGUAGGAAUCUACCCAGUAGUGGGGGACAACUUAGGGAAACUUAAGCUAAUACCGCAUACGCCCUGAGGGGGAAAGCGGGGGAUCUUCGGACCUCGCGCUAUUGGAAGAGCCUGCGUUAGAUUAGCUAGUUGGUGGGGUAAAGGCUCACCAAGGCGACGAUCUAUAGCUGGUCUGAGAGGAUGAUCAGCCACACUGGGACUGAGACACGGCCCAGACUCCUACGGGAGGCAGCAGUGGGGAAUAUUGCGCAAUGGGCGAAAGCCUGACGCAGCCAUGCCGCGUGUGUGAAGAAGGCCUUAGGGUUGUAAAGCACUUUCAAUUGGGAGGAAGGGGUUAAAGUUAAUAGCUUUGACUUUUGACGUUACCUUUAGAAGAAGCACCGGCUAACUCCGUGCCAGCAGCCGCGGUAAUACGGAGGGUGCGAGCGUUAAUCGGAAUUACUGGGCGUAAAGCGCGCGUAGGCGGUUUGUUAAGUCGGAUGUGAAAGCCCCGGGCUCAACCUGGGAACUGCACCCGAUACUGGCCGACUUGAGUGCGAGAGAGGGAGGUAGAAUUCCAUGUGUAGCGGUGAAAUGCGUAGAUAUAUGGAGGAAUACCGGUGGCGAAGGCGGCCUCCUGGCUCGACACUGACGCUGAGGUGCGAAAGCGUGGGUAGCAAACAGGAUUAGAUACCCUGGUAGUCCACGCCGUAAACGAUGUCUACUAGCCGUUGGGGAACUUGAUUCUUUAGUGGCGCAGCUAACGCAAUAAGUAGACCGCCUGGGGAGUACGGCCGCAAGGUUAAAACUCAAAUGAAUUGACGGGGGCCC